GAAAGAGUUAACUGGGCAGAUACCUGGAGGAAGCACAUUCCAGGCAGAGAAAAUAGCAGGAGCAAAGACCUCAGGGCAAGAGCCUGCCUGGCUGGUUAGAGCAACUGCAAGAAACUGCAAAGAACGAUAAGGAGGCCAGUCCGCCUGGAGCUAGUUCUGCCUUUUGCUCUGUCACCUUCGGGCUCAGGUUCAAAGAGCGGCAAGAUGGCCGGCAGCAAACCCAGAAUGUACAGUCUCUCUGCUUCAACUCCAGCAGACAUGCUUGAUGACCUCUUUCUCAGAAGUCCCAAUCACAGAGAAGAGAGAGAGAAAAUAGGCCAAAAUAUUAAUAGGUACGUCUGGAUAAAGAGUUGUUUACCAUCCGUGCAACUUUCCCACAAGUUUAUUUUCAAAUAAAUACAUUUUAAGAAUGGAAAAGAAAAAAAAAAAGGCCCAACUAAAUUCCUGUUGCUCUCAUUGGGUCAUGUUCCUGUCCCUGAGGUGGUCACUAUGGCCAGGAGAAUUUGAUGCUUGGGUUGGCUGGAGCCCAGGAGACUUGUCCUACCUUAGACCCUGGGGUGGAGCCCUGACUGCAGCGUGUGGGAUGCGAACUGAGAGGAUGCUGGGCAAGAAAAACUGCAGAUGUCCACCCCAAGUGUGCUGAGGACCAAAUGAAAAAAUAUAAGGAAACUGACUUCAGAAAGUCCUGUUCGACUAUAAAUGAUGAUGACUGUUCGGUUAUGUUUCUCUCGUGACACGUAGCACUUUCUUCCUUCUCUCUACAGUCGUCUGGUUCAUGCUUUAUCUCCCCUACCACGCCCCGAGCAGCUAGAGAUUAGGGACUUUGCUCUAGUCGUCUCUGGAGCGCUCCACCACUUCUGACUGAGCACCUAGAUAAUAGGACAUAUCCAAUAAAUGAUUGUGGAAUAAGGGAAUGAACCUAAAAUCCAAAGCGUUCCCAGAAUUCUGUGAAUCCCUGGGCCAAACUCUCAGAAGACUGCGGAGAACUUUAACCUUUCCCUGGGGUCACAGAUAAGUCGGCUCUGGCGUUUUUCAUGGUGGAGGGCGGGGCAAGAUCAUUUCAGGAAGAGGUGCCCUUGCAUUGAUUUAUUGACCUGGCCAGGCGAAGACCAGACAGAGAAAAGAAAAGUCCUUCUGAUCCGUUUGUUUAUUCACCAUCUGCUUUGUUUUUCUCUCCCUGUCCUUGUUACAGAGAAGGGGGCUUCAGGAAGGCACAGACUGAAUGAAAGAACCUCCCAAAGGCACUGACAGGUGUGGGGUUCCCUCUUGAUCCUCGAGGCCUGAGCUUCCAGGAAGUUUUGAGUUUAAUUGAAAGAACUGCAUAUGAAUUCUAGUCGAAAAGCUGGAAGCUCGGCCCGGUGUCUGUUCUCCCCUCUCUCUGCGGUUGUGUUCAUUUCCUCAGAUUUCCUAUCUGAACAGAGUCUGGAGCUGCUGGGACCAACUGGAGUUUGGGAAACCGAGCGCGUAAAAGAGGGAAUACAGGACUCAGAUCACCUCUUGAAAUGGUCUGCAGGUAGCCCUGCUCCAGAGCUGUCCUGGAGCUGCUUUUUGGCUGAUUUGCAACAGAGACACUCACUCUUCAGCCACAAGUGUUAAGUAGAAAAGGCUAUGUGGCUUAAGAUACCUGUAGUCCAUCGGGCUGUGCAGACUCACUAGUUUUCAACCUGCCUUCUAUUAUGUUGUGGCAAUGAUGCUAUUCCAGGAACCUCCGCCCCCAGCAGGGCAGAAACAACAGGGACACCUUUUCAGGGAAGGAAAGUUACAUGAUUACAGGUAUUCUGAACAGGCACACAAGCGCUCUACUAAGUUGCACAGUCAUUGUUGGAAACAGUGUUUCAGCUCCAGUACCUCAGACAAUUGCUGGUGGGGGGAGGGAGGGCGUAGGAAUGAGAAUGUCCAGGGGCAUUGUUAGCAGAUCAGGAGUCACCAAAGGAAAAUCUGAGCUGGGCGGAUCAGCAGCUCCCAGCCUGGUGCUUGGCAGGCUCAGCAGCACAAGCUGACUGCUGCUGGGAAGAAACUCCCUGUUCACUAUCUUCACUUCCUGGACUGCCCAAGUCAGUGCAGACUCAUUUCUGGAAGGAUAUCCCUUGACUUCCAGGUUCUGACCUUGCCUCCCCUUCAGGUCUCUAUCUCUUGCCUAGUUGGCAUCUUAUCUCUCUUCCCGACUCUGGCUUCCUCUUCGGGCCUCAGCAUUGCUCUCACAACUUUUUUGGGUCAUGCUGUCCUUGCGUUUCCUACAGGUAGCCACAGGCGCUCUGCCCAGGGACCUGCAGCAGCACGGUCUUAUAGAAAGGGCCUGGACUCGGAAGCCACACAAAGUUGCAAGUGAAUGACUGAUGCUAAUUUAUAAAGCCUGGGAACACAGCAAAGGAGUUCAGGAGAACUGAUCACAUUGGUGGCUAAUCACUGAUAUGCAGCUUGGCCGUGGCAAGGAUUGAAAUGAAAAUUGUGUGUCAGUCUUUGACAUUGAAACGGAUGACAGUAAUCAGCCCCAUGCAACAGAUCAUUUCAUUCAACUACGCAGACGCAUUUUGCAGCUAAUCCUUCUUGCGAGACUAUUACUAUGAAUCACACCUUUUUAGCUGUGUGGUCCAGAAUCUAAGUGUCUCAGAAGGUCCUGUGAGAGGGAAAGGUUUGCGCUGCCUGGCGGCACAGGGCAGACAUCUCGACUCUCACAUAUGCCCACUCUGUGGACUUGCUUUAAGCCUAUGGGCCGAGAUUGCAAACUGGCAGCCGGUGGACCGCACACAGCCUGUGGAUGUGUUCUAUUUGGCUCCACACUGUUUUGCUUUUAUUUUAUUUUUUGUUGAGGAAUAUUAACCCUGAGCUAACUGCUGCCAAUCCUCCUCUUUUUGCUGAGGAAGACUGGCCCUCAGCUAACAUUCAUGCCCAUCUUCUUCUACUUGACAUGUGGGACGCCUACCACAGCAUGGUUUGUCUAGCGGUGCCAUGUCCGCACCUGGGAUCCGAACUGGCGAACCCGGGCUGCCAAAGCGGAAGGUGCGUUCUUAACCGCUACGCCACCGGGCGGCCCCUGCUUUUAUUUUUUUUAAGUUGAAUUGGUUGCCCUAAUCUAAAGCUUCACAUGACCCAAGUUUCUGGCUUGUCUUGAAAAAGGGAAGAGCUGGCAACACUGACGCUGCGGUAACAUCAUGUGGGGCUGAGCGGAGAUGCUCGCUGGAGAUGGGACCACCGUUACCUACUGUCUCCCUCCCACUCAGUUCCAUUCACGUAUGGAAACUGCCUGGGCCCUGAAGGCGUUUGAGCUGGGGACUCUUGGCCUGUGAAGUCCCCUUUUGUCACUGGAAGAGAGCACAGCUGCUAGCGUUCUGUUCCUUUGGGCUCUCUAACCUCUCUUCCUCCACCAGCAAUGAUACCAGCAGGAAUCAGUGUUUGUGAUUCCUUCGGAUAUGUCUUCCCUGAGUUUAUAUUUAAUGCCACAGUUGAAGACAUGUGUCAUGUGACCAGUAGGUUCUCAUAUGAGGAUGAAGGGGAGGAAUCUGUCUUUGAAAUUUGCCUCUCUGCACCGUUUCUGGGUUCUUUGAAGUCCAGCGGCUUCUGUGUGUAUAGAGGAACACUCUCUGCGACCUCCAGUAUAACUGAUGCUCAAUUUCUCAAAUUUAUUUAUCUAAUAAAACUUAGAAAAUUAAAAUUUCUUAAACUACAUUUUUACGUUUAGGUCCUGACUACAAAUUAUAUUUCUUUUGGGUGAAAAUAACAGAAAGCCCUGACUGAAAAUGGCUUAACCGAGGAGG
rnacentral:lncRNA from 1 species